ACGCGAGGAACCUUACCAAGGCUUAAAUGGGAAAUGACAGGCUUAGAAAUAGGCUUUUCUUCGGACAUUUUUCAAGGUGCUGCAUGGUUGUCGUCAGCUCGUGCCGUGAGGUGUUAGGUUAAGUCCUGCAACGAGCGCAACCCCCUGUCACUAGUUGCCAUCAUUAAGUUGGGGGGGGACUCUAGUGAGACUGCCUACGCAAGUAGAGAGGAAGGUGGGGAUGACGUCAAAUCAUCACGGCCCUUACGCC
rnacentral:rRNA from 1 species